AGUUUUACCCUUUCAAAAGUCUUGCUUUGAUGAUUUGCUAAGCAUGCUUGCAGAAAUUAUCAAUCUAGGACUAAUAAUUUCCUCCUACUGAGGCAAGACUUUCCUGAGUUGUCUACCCAAUUUCCUGUGAAUUUCAAGAUUUUCCAGUCUGGCUGGUAAGAGCAGGCCCUACUCCCAGCUGUGUGCGUGCUCUAAGUACUGGUAUCACAGGUCCUUUUGGGGGUUCUUUCCCUGACUGUGUAAUUUCCUUGCAUGCAUGUGCUGAUCAUUACUCAACUGAGCACUCAAGUUGGAUUUCUGCAUAACUCCAGAGCUCUCUUUCUUUGCGGCUCUCUCCACUCCAUUAGUCUGCCCUGUGAAAUCCAGCCACUUUGAUCUCCCCAGACUCAGCUCAUUCUUUCAACUCGGGGGUUCCAGCAGACUCCGGUGGGCAACCUCUCCCUGCAACGUGGCCAGGAAUCUCUCAAGGCAGUAAGCUGGAGCAGUCCUUGGCCUCACCUUGUUUAUUUCCCAUCAUUCAAUAAUCACUUUCAUGUCUGAUGUCCAAUUGCUUGGAAAUCACUGUUUCAUUUGUUUUGUGCCAUUUUUUUACUUGUUUAAGGUGGGAAGCUAAGUCUGGUCCCUGUUAUUCCAUCUUGGCCAGAAGCCUAGCAGCUCCAUUUCAAGCCCUGAACCCUCCCUCCACAUCGGGCUUCAGAUUCUGCCAGUCCACUACUCAAACAAGUGAGCCGAGUCUUGCGGGGAUUGAGAUUCACAGAGAAGCACCUCUUUGCCAUGCCAGAUGGGAAAACUGAGGCUUAAAAAGGUUACGCAACCUCAGCCAAGUCGCACAUGAGCGGUGGAUAAGACCUGACCCCAGGAGGCCUGGCUGCAGAGCUGGGCCCCAGACCUCUCCUGAACGCGGGGCACCACCUCACGUAAACUCUCUGCCACAGCCCCAGUGCUCCAGGGCCCUGCUCUGUGUCACUCACAGAUCUGUUGUACCCCAUUUCCCCCACUGUAAUGUCAUCUCUGUGGGCAGGGAUUUUUGCCUGUUUUGCUCACUGUGUUGUGUACCCUAGUGCCUGGUGUGUGGCAGGAAUUUGUAUUUGUUGGAUGAAUUUGUGGAUGAAUAGAUGAUCAAGGAGGCCAGUAAGUGGCUCAGGUAGCCAGCCCCUCAUCCUGCCCCCUCCCCAAUAUCUCUGUGCCUCCUGCAUGACGGUGGCACAGGCUGGCCAACGAGCUUCUGCAUGGAAGAUGGGGCAGGCUACUGGGAUGUGUCAUGGUGGGCCAAGCCAGGGGGCCAUGUAGGGUGGUGGAACCAGUCCAGGUAUUCCCUUGGGGAACCAGAGGGUUGAGUCCAAUGGGGCUAUCAGAACCCAUAAGGCCUUGAGAGCCAAGGAAGUGAUGAUUGGUUCAAACAGGAGGGUGGCAAGGCCAGGCCGUCAUGGGGCAGGUCUCUGGAGGGGGCCAGGCUGGAACUGGGCCAGUGAUAUAAUUUGGCUCUAUGUCCCCACCCAAGUCUCAUGUCAAAUUGCAAUCCUCAAUGUUGGAGGAGGGGUCUGGUGGGAGGUGAUUGGAUCAUGCAGGCAGACUUCUCUCUUGCUGUUCUGGUGACAGUGAGUGAGUUUCAU